UACGUAGGGGGCGAGCGUUGUUCGGAUUCAUUGGGCGUAAAGGGUGCGUAGGCGGCGCGGUAAGUCGGGUGUGAAAUCUCGGGGCUUAACUCCGAAACUGCAUUCGAUACUACCGUGCUUGAGGACUGGAGAGGAGACUGGAAUUUACGGUGUAGCGGUGAAAUGCGCAGAUAUCGGGAGGAACACCAAUGGCGAAGGCAGCUCGCUGGGACGGUACUGACGCUGAGACGCGAAAGCGUGGGGAGCAAACAGG
rnacentral:rRNA from 1 species